GCCUUCGGCGUGCUUAACACAUGCAAGUCGCACGAGAACGCUUCAGCUUGCUGAAGUUAGUAAAGUGGCGCACGGGUGAGUAACGCGUGGGUAAUCUACCUCCAAAUUGGGGAUAACAUUGCGAAAGUGGUGCUAAUACCGGAUAAUAUCUAGAUGUCUUCGGGUGUUUAGAUCAAAGAUGGCCUCUUCUUGAAAGCUAUCGUUUGAGGAUGAGCCCACGCACCAUUAGCUAGUUGGUAGGGUAAAGGCCUACCAAGGCUACGAUGGUUAGCUGGUCUGAGAGGAUGAUCAGCCACACUGGAACUGACACACGGUCCAGACUCCUACGGGAGGCAGCAGUGAGGAAUUUUGCGCAAUGGGGGAAACCCUGACGCAGCAACGCCGCGUGAGUGAUGAAGGCUUUUGGGUCGUAAAGCUCUGUCAGUAGGGAAGAAGUCGUUUAUAGUUAAUACCUAUAGGCGUUGACGGUACCUACAAAGGAAGCACCGGCUAACUCCGUGCCAGCAGCCGCGGUAAUACGGGGGGUGCAAGCGUUAUUCGGAAUUAUUGGGCGUAAAGCGAGUGCAUGCGGUAUGAUAAGUCAGAUGUAAAAGCCCGGGGCUCAACCCCGGAAGUGCAUUUGAAACUGUCAGACUUGAGUAUGGGAGAGGAAAGUGGAAUUCCUGGUGUAGAGGUGAAAUUCGUAGAUAUCAGGAGGAACACCAGUGGCGAAGGCGACUUUCUGGACCAAUACUGACGCUCAGACUCGAAGGCGUGGGGAGCAAACAGGAUUAGAUACCCUGGUAGUCCACGCAGUAAACGUUGACAACUAGGUGUCGCGGGUAUUGACCCCUGCGGUGCCGGAGCUAACGCAUUAAGUUGUCCGCCUGGGGAGUACGAUCGCAAGAUUAAAACUCAAAGGAAUUGACGGGGGCCCGCACAAGCGGUGGAGCAUGUGGUUAAUUCGACGCAACGCGAAGAACCUUACCUGGAUUUGACAUCCUGGGAAUCAUUUGAAAAAUGAGAUGCCCUUUCGGGGAACUCGGAGACAGUGCUGCAUGCUGUCGUCAGCUCGUGUCGUGAGAUGUUGGUUAGUCCGCACGAGCGCACCCUAUCUUUAGUACAUCAUUCAGUGGGACUCUAAGAUACCUGCCGGUAACGGGAGAGGUGGGAAUAGCUCAGUCUCAUUGACUAUGUUCAAGGCUUACACACUUGCUUACAAAU
rnacentral:rRNA from 1 species